rnacentral:rRNA from 1 species
AUCGAUGGGGAUGCGUUCCAUUAGUUAGUUGGCGGGGUAACGGCCCACCAAGACGACGAUGGAUAGGGGUUCUGAGAGGAAGGUCCCCCACAUUGGAACUGAGACACGGUCCAAACUCCUACGGGAGGCAGCAGUGAGGAAUAUUGGUCAAUGGACGAGAGUCUGAACCAGCCAAGUAGCGUGAAGGAUGACUGCCCUAUGGGUUGUAAACUUCUUUUAUAUGGGAAUAAAACAGGGUAUGCAUACCCUCUUGUAUGUACCAUAUGAAUAAGGAUCGGCUAACUCCGUGCCAGCAGCCGCGGUAAUACGGAGGAUCCGAGCGUUAUCCGGAUUUAUUGGGUUUAAAGGGAGCGUAGGUGGAUUGUUAAGUCAGUUGUGAAAGUUUGCGGCUCAACCGUAAAAUUGCAGUUGAAACUGGCAGUCUUGAGUACAGUAGAGGUGGGCGGAAUUCGUGGUGUAGCGGUGAAAUGCUUAGAUAUCACGAAGAACUCGGAUUGCGAAGGCAGCUCACUGGACUGCAACUGACACUGAUGCUCGAA